rnacentral:rRNA from 1 species
UGGAUUAGCGGCGAACGGGUGAGGAACACGUGAAGAAUCUGCCCUCCACUUUGGGAUAACACCGGGAAACCGGUGCUAAUACCGAAUAUUGAAACAUAAGUGGCAUCACUGAGUUUUGAAAGAAUUUCGGUGGAGGAUGACUUCGCGGCCUAUCAGCUAGUUGGUGAGGUAAUGGCUCACCAAGGCAACGACGGGUAGCCGGCCUGAGAGGGCGACCGGCCACACUGGGACUGAGACACGGCCCAGACUCCUACGGGAGGCAGCAGUGGGGAAUAUUGGGCAAUGGAGGAAACUCUGACCCAGCGACGCCGCGUGCGGGAUGAAGGCCUUCGGGUUGUAAACCGCUUUCAGUAGGGAAGAAGCGAAAGUGACGGUACCUACAAAAGAAGCACCGGCUAACUAUGUGCCAGCAGCCGCGGUAAUACAUAGGGUGCAAGCGUUGUCCGGAAUUAUUGGGCGUAAAGAGCUCGUAGGUCGUCUGUUACGUCGGAUGUGAAAACCUGAGGCU